rnacentral:rRNA from 1 species
UACGUAGGGUGCAAGCGUUGUCCGGAAUUAUUGGGCGUAAAGAGCUCGUAGGCGGUCUGUCGCGUCUGGUGUGAAAACUCAGGGCUUAACCCUGAGCUUGCAUCGGGUACGGGCAGACUAGAGUGCGGUAGGGGAGGCUGGAAUUCCUGGUGUAGCGGUGAAAUGCGCAGAUAUCAGGAGGAACACCGGUGGCGAAGGCGGGUCUCUGGACCGUAACUGACGCUGAGGAGCGAAAGCAUGGGGAGCGAACAGG